rnacentral:rRNA from 1 species
GACGAACGCUGGCGGCGUGCCUAAUACAUGCAAGUCGAACGAAGCUGUUUUAACUGGUGCUUGCACCGACUUAAACAACUGAGUGGCGAACGGGUGAGUAACACGUGGGUAACCUGCCCCAAAGCGGGGGAUAACAUUUGGAAACAGAUGCUAAUACCGCAUAACCACAGAAACCACAUGGUUUCUGUGUCAAAGAUGGUUUCGGCUAUCACUGUGGGAUGGACCCGCGGCGUAUUAGCUAGUUGGUAAGGUAAUGGCUUACCAAGGCAAUGAUACGUAGCCGAACUGAGAGGUUGAUCGGCCACAUUGGGACUGAGACACGGCCCAAACUCCUACGGGAGGCAGCAGUAGGGAAUCUUCCACAAUGGACGAAAGUCUGAUGGAGCAACGCCGCGUGAGUGAAGAAGGUUUUCGGAUCGUAAAACUCUGUUGUCAGAGAAGAGCGUGUGCGAGAGUAACUGUUCGUGCAGUGACGGUAUCUGGCCAGAAAGCCACGGCUAACUACGUGCCAGCCGCCGCGGUAA